GAUGAACGCUGGCGGCGUGCCUAAUACAUGCAAGUCGAGCGAACAGACGAGGAGCUUGCUCCUCUGACGUUAGCGGCGGACGGGUGAGUAAGACGUGGAUAACCUACCUAUAAGACUGGGAUAACUUCGGGAAACCGGAGCUAAUACCGGAUAAUAUAUUGAACCGCAUGGUUCAAUAGUGAAAGACGGUUUUGCUGUCACUUAUAGAUGGAUCCGCGCCGCAUUAGCUAGUUGGUAAGGUAACGGCUUACCAAGGCAACGAUGCGUAGCCGACCUGAGAGGGUGAUCGGCCACACUGGAACUGAGACACGGUCCAGACUCCUACGGGAGGCAGCAGUAGGGAAUCUUCCGCAAUGGGCGAAAGCCUGACGGAGCAACGCCGCGUGAGUGAUGAAGGUCUUCGGAUCGUAAAACUCUGUUAUUAGGGAAGAACAAAUGUGUAAGUAACUAUGCACGUCUUGACGGUACCUAAUCAGAAAGCCACGGCUAACUACGUG
rnacentral:rRNA from 1 species